CUUUAUGUCUAGCUCAGGGAUUGUAAAUACACCAAUCAGCACUCUGUAUCUAGCUCAAGGUUUGUAAACACACCAAUCAGCACCCUGUGUCUAGCUCAGGGUUUGUGAAUGCACCAAUGGACACUCUGUAUCUAGCUACUCUAGUUGGGACGUGGAGAACCUUUAUGUCUAGCUCAGGGUUUGUAAAGGCACCAAUCAGCGCCCUGUCAAAACAGACCACCCAGCUCUACAAAUCAGCAGGAUGUGGGUGGGGCCACAUAAGAAUAAAAGCAGGCUGCUUCCAGCAGCGGUGGCAACUCGCUCGGGUUCCCUUCCACACUGUGGAAGCUUUGUUGUUUCACUCUUCGCAAUAAGUCUUGCUGCUGCUCACUCUUUGGGUCCACACUGCUUUUAUGAGCUGUAACACUCACUGCGAAGGUCUGCAGCUUCACCACGAACCCACCGGGAGGAACGAACAACUCUAGAUGCACCGCCUUAGGAGCUGUAACACUCACCGCGGAGGUCCAUGGCUGCACUCCUGAGCCAGCGAGACCACGAACCCCACCAGAAGGAAGAAACUCCGAACACAUCUGAACAUCAGAAGGAACAAACUCCAGACACACUGCCUUUAAGAACGGUAACACUCACCUUGAGGGUCCACAGCUUCAUUCUUGAAGUCAGUGAGACCAAGAACCCACCAAUUCCGGACACACAGGGACAGCAAUCCACCACUUGCCAUGAUGUACGAUCGAAGCCUAUCACCUUUUCUGCAGCAGUGGCUCCAUUAAGUUUCACUCUGUCACCCAGACUGGAGUGCAGUGGCACAAUCUCCACUCAUUGCAGCCUCCGCCUCCCGGAUUCAAGUGAUUCUCCUGCCUCAGCCUCCCCAGUAGCUGGGACUACAGGAGAGCAUCAGUAAAGAUGGCAAGAUUGAAAUCCAAGCAACAAGAUUUCCACUGAAUAGAAAUUUCUGAGGAAAGUGUAAGGACAGGUGUGAGAACUCUGGUGGCAAGGAUGAGGAAGCAUCAUCCCCCUUCUCAAACAGGAAAGAAGAGCCAAGAGACCUGAAAAGGAGCUAGAGCCAAGAAGGUGAAAAGGUGAGAGUUCCCAUUGCAAAUAACCUUCUCUCUGUAAAUAAAAAUGGUAAGGCACCUGCUGAAAGAUGGGAGACCAUGUGUUAAUUUGGGAAUCUGAGUAAUAAUAAAGCUGUUUCUAGCAGUAACUGUGCAGUACACCACAAAGUUGCCAGGCUGCUAAAUUUGGGUUACAGAAAUUUGUGAAGAUGCCAAUUCAGGUUUUUUUGUUUUUAUUAAGAAGGAUACUAGCAAUUCUUAAAUCUGUCAGAUCAGAUUAUCUUAAAAUUUCUGAAGGCUUUUUUUCCACACAAACAAAUAAAUAUUUAUAAAAUGAACUAUAUGCUCAUACCCUUAGUGAAAAUAUACACAUCAACUUAUGACUUAUGUAAGUCAAUUACUAAUUCAACUACUAAUGGGAAAUUGGAUGAACUCAGUAAAAUUGUCUUACCUAUGUCUCUUGAGUUUCUCUUUCUAUUACAUGCGAAAUUACAAUAAAACCUUGACUAC